AAGAGCCGUUUGAGUCUGCGAUUUCCGAAUGGGGAAACCCAACUGCAUAAGCAGUUACUGUUAACUGAAUACAUAGGUUAACAGAGCAAACCGGGGGAACUGAAACAUCUAAGUACCCCGAGGAGAAGAAAUCAACCGAGAUUCCGGUAGUAGCGGCGAGCGAACCUGGAUUAGCCCUUAAGCACUCGGUGAAGUAGGUGAACAAGCUGGAAAGCUUGGCGAUACAGGGUGAUAGCCCCGUAACCGACGCUUCAUCGAGCGUGAAAUCGAGUAGGGCGGGACACGUGAUAUCCUGUCUGAAUAUGGGGGGACCAUCCUCCAAGGCUAAAUACUCCUGACUGACCGAUAGUGAACCAGUACCGUGAGGGAAAGGCGAAAAGAACCCCUGUGAGGGGAGUGAAAUAGAACCUGAAACCGUGUACGUACAAGCAGUAGGAGCACCUUCGUGGUGUGACUGCGUACCUUUUGUAUAAUGGGUCAGCGACUUAUAUUCAGUGGCAAGGUUAACCGUAUAGGGGAGCCGUAGCGAAAGCGAGUCUUAACUGGGCGCUCAGUCUCUGGAUAUAGACCCGAAACCGGGUGAUCUAGCCAUGGGCAGGUUGAAGGUUGAGUAACAUCAACUGGAGGACCGAACCGACUAAUGUUGAAAAAUUAGCGGAUGACUUGUGGCUAGGGGUGAAAGGCCAAUCAAACUCGGAGAUAGCUGGUUCUCCCCGAAAGCUAUUUAGGUAGCGCCUCGGACGAAUACUACUGGGGGUAGAGCACUGUUAAGGCUAGGGGGUCAUCCCGACUUACCAACCCUUUGCAAACUCCGAAUACCAGUAAGUACUAUCCGGGAGACACACGGCGGGUGCUAACGUCCGUCGUGGAGAGGGAAACAACCCAGACCGCCAGCUAAGGUCCCAAAGUAUUGCUAAGUGGGAAACGAUGUGGGAAGGCUCAGACAGCUAGGAUGUUGGCUUAGAAGCAGCCAUCAUUUAAAGAAAGCGUAAUAGCUCACUAGUCGAGUCGGCCUGCGCGGAAGAUGUAACGGGGCUAAGCAAUACACCGAAGCUGCGGCAAUAUCUUUUAGAUAUUGGGUAGGGGAGCGUUCUGUAAGCCGUUGAAGGUGAAUCGUAAGGUUUGCUGGAGGUAUCAGAAGUGCGAAUGCUGACAUGAGUAACGACAAAGGGGGUGAAAAACCUCCUCGCCGGAAGACCAAGGGUUCCUGUCCAACGUUAAUCGGGGCAGGGUGAGUCGACCCCUAAGGUGAGGCCGAAAGGCGUAAUCGAUGGGAAACGGGUUAAUAUUCCCGUACUUCUGACUAUUGCGAUGGGGGGACGGAGAAGGCUAGGUGGGCCAGGCGACGGUUGUCCUGGUUCAAGUGCGUAGGCUUGAGGGUUAGGUAAAUCCGGCUCUCUCUAAGGCUGAGACACGACGUCGAGCUGCUACGGCAGUGAAGUCAUUGAUGCCAUGCUUCCAGGAAAAGCCUCUAAGCUUCAGAUAGUCAGGAAUCGUACCCCAAACCGACACAGGUGGUCGGGUAGAGAAUACCAAGGCGCUUGAGAGAACUCGGGUGAAGGAACUAGGCAAAAUGGUACCGUAACUUCGGGAGAAGGUACGCUCUUGAUGGUGAAGUCCCUCGCGGAUGGAGCUGACGAGAGUCGCAGAUACCAGGUGGCUGCAACUGUUUAUUAAAAACACAGCACUGUGCAAAAUCGCAAGAUGACGUAUACGGUGUGACGCCUGCCCGGUGCCGGAAGGUUAAUUGAUGGGGUUAGCGCAAGCGAAGCUCUUGAUCGAAGCCCCGGUAAACGGCGGCCGUAACUAUAACGGUCCUAAGGUAGCGAAAUUCCUUGUCGGGUAAGUUCCGACCUGCACGAAUGGCGUAAUGAUGGCCACGCUGUCUCCACCCGAGACUCAGUGAAAUUGAAAUCGCUGUGAAGAUGCAGUGUACCCGCGGCUAGACGGAAAGACCCCGUGAACCUUUACUACAGCUUGGCACUGAACAUUGAACCUACAUGUGUAGGAUAGGUGGGAGGCUAUGAAGACGUGACGCCAGUUGCGUUGGAGCCGUCCUUGAAAUACCACCCUUGUAUGUUUGAUGUUCUAACUUAGACCCAUUAUCUGGGUUGAGGACAGUGCCUGGUGGGUAGUUUGACUGGGGCGGUCUCCUCCCAAAGAGUAACGGAGGAGCACGAAGGUGGGCUAAUCACGGUUGGACAUCGUGAGGUUAGUGCAAUGGCAUAAGCCCGCUUAACUGCGAGAAUGACGGUUCGAGCAGGUGCGAAAGCAGGUCAUAGUGAUCCGGUGGUUCUGUAUGGAAGGGCCAUCGCUCAACGGAUAAAAGGUACUCCGGGGAUAACAGGCUGAUACCGCCCAAGAGUUCAUAUCGACGGCGGUGUUUGGCACCUCGAUGUCGGCUCAUCACAUCCUGGGGCUGAAGUCGGUCCCAAGGGUAUGGCUGUUCGCCAUUUAAAGUGGUACGCGAGCUGGGUUUAGAACGUCGUGAGACAGUUCGGUCCCUAUCUGCCGUGGGCGUUGGAAGAUUGAAGGGGGCUGCUCCUGAUAC
rnacentral:rRNA from 1 species